GGUUAAGCGACUAAGCGUACACGGUGGAUGCCCUGGCAGUCAGAGGCGAUGAAGGACGUGCUAAUCUGCGAAAAGCGUCGGUAAGGUGAUAUGAACCGUUAUAACCGGCGAUGUCCGAAUGGGGAAACCCAGUGCAAUUCGUUGCACUAUCGUUAACUGAAUACAUAGGUUAACGAGGCGAACCGGGGGAACUGAAACAUCUAAGUACCCCGAGGAAAAGAAAUCAACCGAGAUUCCCCCAGUAGCGGCGAGCGAACGGGGAGCAGCCCAAAGUCUGAAUCAGCUUGUGUGUUAGUGGAACGGUCUGGAAAGUCCGACGGUACAGGGUGAUAGUCCCGUACACCAAAAUGCACAGGCUGUGAACUCGAAGAGUAGGGCGGGACACGUGGUAUCCUGUCUGAAUAUGGGGGGACCAUCCUCCAAGGCUAAAUACUCCUGACUGACCGAUAGUGAACCAGUACCGUGAGGGAAAGGCGAAAAGAACCCCGGCGAGGGGAGUGAAAAAGAACCUGAAACCGUGUACGUACAAGCAGUGGGAGCACCUUCGGGUGUGACUGCGUACCUUUUGUAUAAUGGGUCAGCGACUUAUAUUCUGUAGCAAGGUUAACCGUAUAGGGGAGCCGCAGGGAAACCGAGUCUUAACUGGGCGUUAAGUUGCAGGGUAUAGACCCGAAACCCGGUGAUCUAGCCAUGGGCAGGUUGAAGGUUGGGUAACACUAACUGGAGGACCGAACCGACUAAUGUUGAAAAAUUAGCGGAUGACUUGUGGCUGGGGGUGAAAGGCCAAUCAAACCGGGAGAUAGCUGGUUCUCCCCGAAAGCUAUUUAGGUAGCGCCUCGUGAACUCAUCUUCGGGGGUAGAGCACUGUUUCGGCUAGGGGGUCAUCCCGACUUACCAACCCGAUGCAAACUACGAAUACCGAAGAAUGUUAUCACGGGAGACACACGGCGGGUGCUAACGUCCGUCGUGAAGAGGGAAACAACCCAGACCGCCAGCUAAGGUCCCAAAGUCAUGGUUAAGUGGGAAACGAUGUGGGAAGGCACAGACAGCCAGGAUGUUGGCUUAGAAGCAGCCAUCAUUUAAAGAAAGCGUAAUAGCUCACUGGUCGAGUCGGCCUGCGCGGAAGAUGUAACGGGGCUAAACCAUGCACCGAAGCUGCGGCAGCGACACUAUGUGUUGUUGGGUAGGGGAGCG
rnacentral:rRNA from 1 species